GCUGGGCACAGUGGUGCAUGCCUAUAAUUCAAGCUACUUGGGAGGCUGAGGCAGGAGGAUUGCCAGUUCUGAGGCCAGUUUCAACAACUUAGCAAGGUCCUGUCUCCA
rnacentral:sRNA from 1 species